UUGAUCUUGGCUCAGGACGAACGCUGGCGGCAUGCCUAAUACAUGCAAGUCGAACGCUGAAGCACUCUGCUUGCGGAGUGCGGAUGAGUGGCGAACGGGUGAGUAACACGUGGGGAAUCUGCCUAGGAGUGGGGGAUAACAUUCGGAAACGGAUGCUAAUACCGCAUAUCUUCUUAGACCGCAUGGUCUAUGAAUGAAAGACGGCUUUGCUGUCGCUCUUAGAUGAUCCCGCGGCGUAUUAGUUAGUUGGUGGGGUAAAGGCCUACCAAGACCAUGAUACGUAGCCGACCUGAGAGGGUGAUCGGCCACACUGGGACUGAGACACGGCCCAGACUCCUACGGGAGGCAGCAGUAGGGAAUCUUCCACAAUGGGUGAAAACCUGAUGGAGCAAUGCCGCGUGAAUGAAGAAGGUCUUCGGAUCGUAAAGUUCUGUUAUUAGAGAAGAACAAGUCAAGGAGUAACUGUCUUGACUUUGACGGUACCUAACCAGAAAGUCACGGCUAACUACGUGCCAGCAGCCGCGGUAAUACGUAGGUGACAAGCGUUGUCCGGAAUUAUUGGGCGUAAAGGGAGCGCAGGCGGUUGGAAUAGUCUGAUGUGAAAGCCCACGGCUUAACCGUGGAAGGUCAUUGGAAACUGUCCAACUUGAAUACAGAAGAGGUAAGUGGAAUUCCAAGUGUAGCGGUGAAAUGCGUAGAUAUUUGGAGGAACACCAGUGGCGAAGGCGACUUACUGGUCUGUAAUUGACGCUGAGGCUCGAAAGCGUGGGUAGCAAACAGGAUUAGAUACCCUGGUAGUCCACGCCGUAAACGAUGAGUGCUAGGUGUCGGGGG
rnacentral:rRNA from 1 species